rnacentral:rRNA from 1 species
CGUAACGCGUAUAGAAUCUGCCUUAUACAGAGGGAUAGCCCAGAGAAAUUUGGAUUAAUACCUCAUAGUAUUGUUUAAUCGCAUGAUUUAACAAUUAAAACUCCGGUGGUAUAAGAUGAGUAUGCGUCCCAUUAGAUAGUUGGUGAGGUAACGGCUCACCAAGUCUACGAUGGGUAGGGGUUCUGAGAGGAUGAUCCCCCACACUGGUACUGAGACACGGACCAGACUCCUACGGGAGGCAGCAGUGAGGAAUAUUGGUCAAUGGACGCAAGUCUGAACCAGCCAUGCCGCGUGCAGGAUGACGGCCCUAUGGGUUGUAAACUGCUUUUCUAUGUGAAGAACUAUCGGUACGAGUACCGGUUUGCCUGUAGCAUAGGAAUAAGGACCGGCUAACUCCGUGCCAGCAGCCGCGGUAAUACGGAGGGUCCGAGCGUUAUCCGGAUUCAUUGGGUUUAAAGGGUGCGUAGGCGGCCUCGUAAGUCAGUAGUGAAAGCCGACAGCUUAACUGUCGAAGUGCUAUUGAAACUGCGGGGCUAGAAUUCUGAUGGAGUGGGCGGAAUGUGUUGUGUAGCGGUGAAAUGCAUAGAUAUAACACAGAACACCGAUCGCGAAGGCAGCUCACUAAGGAGACAUUGACGCUGAUGCACGAAAGCGUGGGGAGCGAACAGGAUUAGAUACCCUGGUAGUCCACGCCGUAAACGAUGAUAACUGGUUGUCGACGAUACACAGUCGGUGGCUAAGCGAAAGUAUUAAGUUAUCCACCUGGGGAGUACGAUCGCAAGGUUGAAACUCAAAGGAAUUGACGGGGGCCCGCACAAGCGGUGGAGCAUGUGGUUUAAUUCGAUGAUACGCGAGGAACCUUACCUGGGCUCAAACGUAAUUUGACGUAUUUGGAAACAGAUAUUUCUUCGGACAAAUUACGAGGUGCUGCAUGGUUGUCGUCAGCUCGUGCCGUGAGGUGUCGGGUUAAGUCCCAUAACGAGCGCAACCCCUAUCCUUAGUUGCCAGCACAUAAUGGUGGGGACUCUGAGGAAACUGCCGGCGCAAGCCGCGAGGAAGGUGGGGAUGACGUCAAAUCAGCACGGCCCUUAUGUCCAGGGCUACACACGUGCUACAAUGGUAAGUACAGAGGGCAGCUACCUGGUGACAGGAUGCGAAUCUCGAAAGCUUAUCUCAGUUCGGAUCGAAGUCUGCAACUCGACUUCGUGAAGUUGGAAUCGCUAGUAAUCGCGUAUCAGCCAUGACGCGGUGAAUACGUUCCCGGGCCUUGUACACACCGCCCGUCAAGCCAUGGAAGCUGGGGGUGCCUAAAGUCCGUGACCGCAAGGAGCGGCCUAGGGUAAAACUGGUAACUAGGGCU